CCCCAUACAACUUUGUUUUCAAUCGAGUGUGCCACUCAACUUAGUGAGGAGAAGUGUGCCACUCGCCACAGGCAACAGAAAUCGGAUGUGCCACUCAACUUAGUGAGGAGAAGUGUGCCACUCGCCACAGACAACAGAGAGUAAGGUUAUUUACACUAAAUCAAUUCAUUAUUAUCAACCCUACAACUCAGUCGGUGUGCCACCCAACUUAGUGAGGACAAGUGUGUCACUCGCCACAGACAACAGAGAUGUGCCACCCAACUCAGUGAGGACAAGUGUGCCACUUGCCACAAGCAGCAGAGAGUUAGUCAGGUACGUGUGUCAACGAACUUAGUGAGGACAAGUGUGCCACUUGCCACAGAGAGCAGAGAUCGGGUGUGCCAUCCAACUCAGUGAGGACAAGUGUGCCACUCGCCACAGACAGCAGAGAGUAAAGUUAUUUACACUAAAAUAAUUCAUUAUUACAUGUUUGCCACAGAUAGCAGAGAGUAUCUGCACUACAAAAAGAAUACAACCUUGAUAUAAGCUGACAAGGUACUUACACCACUAUAACUGAGUGAAUUGCCAUUUGCCUAGUUUGUCAUAAUUCAAUCAUAUCAUUACUAAUUGUUUUUACUAACUAACUCUUGAACACUGUACACAAGUAUUGGUAUUUCACACCUCUUUGAUUGACCUUGUAGGUGUGAACAUGACAAGAACAC